CCAGAUCAUACUAAACAAACCUAAGGGAGGGGCCAGGCUUCAGGGAAGGCGAAAAGGCUUGAACAGAUGCUGGGCUUUAAUCGCCUUAGAACCAUUUAAACCACGUGAUGGCAAGUUUCCGCUGCCCCUCCCCUACCCCCAGCCUCCCUGGCCACUUUUUCUCUUGCUUGUGCUUCCUCAUCUCAUGACUCUGGCAAACCUUCAGGCUGCUUAUUCAACCUGUCGCAAGACACUCUCUGUGCCAAAGGAAAAGAAGGAGAAUGAAAAAGCCUGUGCAGGCUCCAGGGCACUGGCUGCCAGGGUAGCCCAGGGUGAGGCAGCCGAGGACUCAUCAACAGCUAGAGAUCCAGAUGUUGAACUCUCAGCUCUUUCUCCAGCACCAUGUCUGCCUGCAUGCUGCCAUGUUUCCCACCAUGGACAAUGGACCAAACCUCUGAACCAUAAGCCAGCCCUUAAUUAAUUGGCCCUCAAUUUUCCUUUAUAAGAAAAAAUAAAUAAACUUACCACAUGAGCUAA